GACAAACGCUGGCGGCGUGCCUAAUACAUGCAAGUCGAACGAACUCUGGUAUUGAUUGGUGCUUGUAUCAUGAUUUACAUUUGAGUGAGUGGCGAACUGGUGAGUAACACGUGGGAAACCUGCCCAGAAGCGGGGGAUAACACCUGGAAACAGAUGCUAAUACCGCAUAACAACUUGGACCGCAUGGUCCGAGCUUGAAAGAUGGCUUCGGCUAUC
rnacentral:rRNA from 1 species